rnacentral:rRNA from 1 species
AGCAGCCGCGGUAAUUCCAGCUCCAAUAGCGUAUAUUAAAGUUGUUGCAGUUAAAAAGCUCGUAGUUGAACUUCGGGGUCUACCCAUUGGUCAGGCUUAAUCGUCUGCACUGGUGAGAUGGAUCUCUACCUUCUGAGGAACUUUCAUGCCAUUUAUUUGGUGUGAUGGGAAAUCAGGACUGUUACUUUGAAAAAAUUAGAGUGUUUAAAGCAGACUAUCGUCUGAAUACAUUAGCAUGGAAUAAUGAAAUAGGACGGACUGAUUCUAUUUCGUUGGUUUCUAGGAUCACCGUAAUGAUUAAUAGGGAUAGUUGGGGGCAUUAGUAUUCAAUUGUCAGAGGUGAAAUUCUUGGAUUUAUUGAAGACUAACUACUGCGAAAGCAUUUGCCAAGGAUGUUUUCAUUAAUCAAGAACGAAAGUUAGGGGAUCGAAGACGAUCAGAUACCGUCGUAGUCUUAACCAUAAACUAUGCCGACUAGGGAUCGGACGAAGUUAAUUUUAUAAUGACGCGUUCGGCACCUUACG